CGCUGGCGGCAUGCCUUACACAUGCAAGUCGAACGGUAACGCGGGGCAACCUGGCGACGAGUGGCGAACGGGUGAGUAAUAUAUCGGAACGUGCCCAGCUGUGGGGGAUAACUGCUCGAAAGAGCAGCUAAUACCGCAUACGACCUGAGGGUGAAAGCGGGGGAUCGCAAGACCUCGCGCAAUUGGAGCGGCCGAUAUCAGAUUAGGUAGUUGGUGGGGUAAAGGCCUACCAAGCCUACGAUCUGUAGCUGGUCUGAGAGGACGACCAGCCACACUGGGACUGAGACACGGCCCAGACUCCUACGGGAGGCAGCAGUGGGGAAUUUUGGACAAUGGGGGCAACCCUGAUCCAGCCAUGCCGCGUGCGGGAAGAAGGCCUUCGGGUUGUAAACCGCUUUUGUCAGGGAAGAAAAGACUCCUACUAAUACUGGGGGUUCAUGACGGUACCUGAAGAAUAAGCACCGGCU
rnacentral:rRNA from 1 species